rnacentral:rRNA from 1 species
GACGAACGCUGGCGGCGUGCUUAACACAUGCAAGUCGAGCGGUAAGGCCUUUCGGGGUCCACGAGCGGCGAACGGGUGAGUAACACGUGGGUGAUCUGCCCUGCACUUCGGGAUAAGCCUGGGAAACUGGGUCUAAUACCGGAUAUGACCUCCUAUCGCAUGGUGGGUGGUGGAAAGAUUUAUCGGUGCAGGAUGGGCCCGCGGCCUAUCAGCUUGUUGGUGGGGUAAUGGCCUACCAAGGCGACGACGGGUAGCCGACCUGAGAGGGUGACCGGCCACAAUGGGACUGAGAAACGGCCCAGACUCCUACGGGAGGCAGCAGUGGGGAAUAUUGCACAAUGGGCGAAAGCCUGAUGCAGCGGCGCCGCGUGAGGGAUGCCGGCCUUCGGGUUGUAAACCUCUUUCAGCAGGGACGAAGCGCAAGUGACGGUACCUGCAGAAGAAGCACCGGCUAACUACGUG